rnacentral:rRNA from 1 species
AACGAACGCUGGCGGCAGGCUUAACACAUGCAAGUCGAGCGCCUCGCAAGAGGAGCGGCAGAAGGGUGAGUAACACGUGGGAACAUACCCUUUACUACGGAACAACUCCUGGAAAAUGGAGCUAAUACCGUAUGUGCCCUUUGGGGAAAGAUUUAUCGGUAAAGGAUUGGCCCGCGUUGGAUUGGCUAGUUGGUGGGGUAAAGGCCUACCAAGGCGACGAUCCAUAGCUGGUCUGAGAGGAUGAUCAGCCACAUUGGGACUGAGACACGGCCCAAACUCCUACGGGAGGCAGCAGUGGGGAAUAUUGGACAAUGGGCGCAAGCCUGAUCCAGCCAUGCCGCGUGAGUGAUGAAGGCCUUAGGGUUGUAAAGCUCUUUCACCGAUGAAGAUAAUGACGGUAGUCGGAGAAGAAGCCCCAGCUAACUUCGUGCCAGCCGCCGCCGUAA